GAUGAACGCUGGCGGCGUGCUUAACACAUGCAAGUCGAACGGUUAAGCUCCAGCUUGCUGGAGUGGAUCAGUGGCGAACGGGUGAGUAACACGUGAGCAACCUGCCCCUGACUCUGGGAUAACAGCCGGAAACGGCUGCUAAUACCGGAUAUGCACCAUGAACGCAUGUUCUGUGGUGGGAAAGAUUUUUCGGUUGGGGAUGGGCUCGCGGCCUAUCAGCUUGUUGGUGAGGUAAUGGCUCACCAAGGCGUCGACGGGUAGCCGGCCUGAGAGGGUGACCGGCCACACUGGGACUGAGACACGGCCCAGACUCCUACGGGAGGCAGCAGUGGGGAAUAUUGCACAAUGGGCGAAAGCCUGAUGCAGCAACGCCGCGUGAGGGAUGACGGCCUUCGGGUUGUAAACCUCUUUUAGCAGGGAAGAAGCGAGAGUGACGGUACCUGCAGAAAAAGCGCCGGCUAACUACGUG
rnacentral:rRNA from 1 species